UGGAACUCACAGAGAUCCGCCUGCCUCUGCCUCCCGAGUGCUGGGAUUAAAGAAAGGCAUGCACUACCAGCCUGGCAUUAAUUGGGUUCUUUAAACAUAGUUUUGUAGUAAGAAUGUGGAACUGUCACCAGAGCUGGGUUCUACUCUUAACUCUGCCGUUAGCUUGUUGUGGAGCAAAAUUCUCCUCCCCUAAACUCAAGCUUCUAUUUCUGUGGACCGAUAGACCGGGGGUGCCCCUGCUUCUGUGGACCGAUAGGCCGGGGGGUGCCGCUGCUUCUCUGGAGCCACGGCAGCCAGCAGUGGGCGGGGCAAUCCAGCCGCAGAGCACGCAGCAAGUGUGCUGUGGUCCUUGAUGUCAAGGGUCACUGGACAGAAUUCCCAGGCUUGAGAGCGCUUUUCCAGCCGGCUACAGGAAGCCAGACUAUGUGGGACGGGGCCUGGAGGCGAGAAGGCCAUAGAGGCAAGUGGACUGGCGGUGGGUGGCCUGGCCCCUGAGCCUGGACUUACCUUGGACUCACCUGCUAGCCUAGGCUUCAGGUGCGAGCAUGUGGCUUGAGAGCUGGCGAAUGGCCCCUGGUACGACCAAGAGGGUCAAGGUUUGUUUGCACCCUCAGCCAUGGAAACGCCUGGCUGUCUGGUCUUCCGCAGACCUGCACUUUGCAAAGAUAAAGGUUGGGGCCAGGAGAAGAUUUCCAGGUUGUUGAUGGGAACCCACUGAAGAAGGUCCUUCGUCAUCCUGCGGGAAUCUCUCUGGGAGACCCCGUCUCAUCCCUGAGAUGUCCGGAGUUCACUGAUUUGCCCAUAACUGCUGUGCCUCCUGUGUUCUAGGCUGGGCAGGCACAAGGCUGCAGCGGUCACCGGGGCUGGUCUUCGGUCCUCACUACUCUGUU